CAACCUCCCAAGGUGCUCUAUUCCAUUUGGGGAUAAGUUUAUUGGAAAGUAUUCUCCCUUAUAUCAAGAAGAAUCUGUGCUUUCUCUUUCUACCCAUUGUUUGACAUUUUUGUUUUUGUUUUUCUCUUCCAGAGGCUAAGGGAAAUAAAUCCAAACUACUUUUUCACUUGGCAUCCCUGCAAACACUUGAAGACAAUCAUCAUGUUUCCUCUGAGUCUUCUUUCUUCAAAUAAUCUUCAUAUAAAGUGGUCUCUGAUUUUCUUGCCAUCCUGGUUGCCCCUCCUUUCUCUUGGGAGGGCCUAACACUGCACUUCCAAAGUAUGAGACCUGGAACUGAAGUCAGUUCUCCAGAAGUGGCCUGGCGGGGGCAGAGGCAAGCUCACUGACUUCUUCUGUCUCUGUUUCUGGCCUUUGUGCUUUUAGUGAUGGAGUCUAAGAUCAAAUUAGCUUAGUUUGGGUUGCCUUGUCACACUGUUGGCUCAUCGAGCUUGACCACACUAUGAAAUCAAGAAUGAACAACAAGGGAAGUAAGACAAAGGGAAGGAAGGAGUCAUAAGAAAUGAAGCUAACAAGGAAAACACAACAGAUUUUUUUUUUGGCAAAGUUCCAGGGUGCUAUAUCUGCCACAUUGAGUUUCUAGGAAGGAAAGAAGACAAUCAUGGAGGCUACCAAAACCUGGCAUAUAGUGGUGUUCAGGAUAUGAGAGAAAGAAUGAUGGGAGUCAGUGAAGGUCCUUCAGAGUCACUACUCUUGAACUGGAAACAUCCAGGCUUCACUAAGUUCCUGCAUCUCUUAGUCAAUUUAUGAGACAGAUGGGUCCUUAAUCAACUCCACAGGACAACUAAGGGAAGACCCAAGGUCAUGGAACUUGUCUCAUGCAGAUGUAUUUGGUUGUAUCUCUGAUGUCACAGGCAAGGAGAUGCUAAGAAUGGGCUGAUGACUCGCAUCGGAGAAGAAAGCAUGAGUGAUAGAAGUUGAUAGAAAAGGCAUAAAGGUGGGGGUGGGGGAUUAGACAGAAGAUAGGGGCAUGUCAAGAAUAGAAGAAGCCUUCUGCAUUUGGGCCUUGUGGAUUUCAGAGAGGCCAAAAACUUCUUCCCAAAACAGAUGCUUUCUGACUAUUACAGCCCCAGAGGACAAAACCAGGACUAAUGGAUAGAACUGUAGUGAAGCACAUUUUAGCUCCAUAAAAAGAAAAAUGUCAUAACAAUUAGAGUUGUUUAACAAUGAAAUGGACUGCUUUGAAAGGAUUCCCACUCCCUGAGUACCUUCUAGCAGACCAACUUGUUGGGGAGAGAUGCAAUGGAAGAUGUUCCC
rnacentral:lncRNA from 1 species